GAUGAAGAACGUAGCGAAAUGCGAUAAGUAGUGUGAAUUGCAGAAUUCAGUGAAUCAUCGAAUCUUUGAACGCACAUUGCGCCCUUUGGUAUUCCUUAGGGCAUGCCUGUUCGAGCGUCAUUUAAACCUUCAAGCUAAGCUUGGUGUUGGGUGACUGUCCGCUUCACGGCGGACUCGCCUCAAAAUUAUUGGCGGCCGGUACGUUGGCUUCGAGCGCAGCAGAAACGCGAACUCGGGCCCGUCGUAUUGGCUCCCAGAAGCUAUCUUCACAAUUUUGACCUCGGAUCAGGUAGGGAUACCCGCUGAACUUAAGCAUAUCAAUAAGCGGAGGA
rnacentral:misc_RNA from 1 species